CAGUCGCCGCGGUAAUACGGAGGGUGCAAGCGUUAAUCGGAAUUACUGGGCGUAAAGCGCACGCAGGCGGUCUGUCAAGUCAGAUGUGAAAUCCCCGGGCUUAACCUGGGAACUGCAUUUGAAACUGGCAGACUGGAGUCUUGUAGAGGGGGGUAGAAUUCCAGGUGUAGCGGUGAAAUGCGUAGAGAUCUGGAGGAAUACCGGUGGCGAAGGCGGCCCCCUGGACAAAGACUGACGCUCAGGUGCGAAAGCGUGGGGAGCAAACAGGAUUAGAUACCCCUGUAGUCCCUGUCUCUUAUAC
rnacentral:rRNA from 1 species